UACGUAGGGCGCAAGCGUUGUCCGGAAUUAUUGGGCGUAAAGAGCUCGUAGGCGGUUUGUCGCGUCUGUCGUGGAAGCCCACGGCUUAACUGUGGGUCUGCGGUGGAUACGGGCAGACUAGAGGCAGGUAGGGGAGAAUGGAAUUCCCGGUGUAGCGGUGAAAUGCGCAGAUAUCGGGAGGAACACCGGUGGCGAAGGCGGUUCUCUGGGCCUGUACUGACGCUGAGGAGCGAAAGCGUGGGGAGCGAACAGG
rnacentral:rRNA from 1 species